rnacentral:rRNA from 1 species
UCGAAGGUAGCAUAAUCAGUAGUUUUUUAAUUGAAAACUAGAAUGAAUGGUUGGAUGAAAUAUAAACUGUUUCAAUUAAUUAGGUUGAAUUUAAUUUUUAAGUAAAAAAGCUUAAAUAAAUAAAUUAGACGAGAAGACCCUUUAGAGUUUUAUAUUAUUAUAUUUUAUUUUUAUUAGAAAUUUUUAGUAAUAAAAUUUAAUUAUAUUUUAUUGGGGUGAUAUUAAAAUUUAAAAAACUUUUAUAAUAAAUGUCAUUAUUAAAUGAUUUUUUGAUCCAUAAUUUAUGAUUAAAAAAUUAAAUUACCUAAGGGAUAACAGCGUAAUAUUAUUUAAAGUUCUUAUUAAUAAUAAUGUUUGCGACCUCGAUG